GGGGGGGUGAGAAAAGAGGAAAGAGAGAGAGAGAGAGAGAGAGAGAGAGAGAGAGAGAGAGAGAGAGACCCCGAAAACUAUUAAACAUCUGCUUAGGACUCUCAACUCUGCAAAAGAAAACGCGAGAAAUAAUAGAGCCUUGAAAUUCCAGCAAGCAAUUGAAUGGAUAUCAACUCAAGGAUUUAUCAGCCAAAGAUUCCAUUUUAGCACCUUGUUUUCUUUCCUAUUAGGACUAAAUAUAAGGAGCAUAACAUGAACAGUGCUUUAGAACAUAACCAGCCUGCAGAGGUUGCUAAACUACAACUCCAAGAACCACAAAUGUCUGGUAGAAGCCAUGAUGACAUCAUGCUCACCAUGAGGUCAUUAUACAAAUGGCAUGAAUUAAGUAAGUUGCAUCAUGACAAAAGGUUGCAAAUGAUGUUCGGAAUAUAACUUGUGUGAGCCAUGCUGGCUUGGUUUGCGGGCACAUGUCCAGAUCCCCCCCCAAAACAAGAAACACAUAUGGAGUGACUUCUAAACAGUUCCUUUCAUAUCGAUCUCCCAUCUUACCGCAAGACAACUCUGGGCUGUUUACAAUAUUAAAAAGGUAAACAUUUUACAAAACCUUUACCCAAUUGGAACUUGCUCCUUGCCGAUAGACAAACAUUUUACCAAACCAAAGUGCCUACUGGCAUUAUUCAAGAGAAUUUCUAAACUGGAGCUGUCUUAACUCUCUGUCUUCCAACCAACUACUGUAUCUAAGCUUCUUUGUCUUUCAGUCUUCUGGAAUGCAGACCCUUCUGGGAAUCCAGACUACAAUCUACUGCAGUGAUAUUUGGAUAACCAUAGUUUUUGAUAUUUGGACCACCAGAGUUGUCUGUCUGUCUGUCAGUCAGUCAAUCAGUCAGUCAGUCAGUCAGUCAAUCAGUCUGUCUGUCUGUCUGUCUGUCUGUCUGUCUGUCUGUCUGUCUGUCUGUCUCUCUGUCUUAUCUAUCUAUUACCUGGCUUAACCUAUCUUUAGAGGGACACGGUGGCUCAGUGGCUAAGAUGCUGAGCUUGUCGAUUGAAAGGUCGGCAGUUCAGCGAUUUGAAUAUCUAGCACUGCGUCAUGGGGUGAGCUCCUGUUACCUGUCCCGAUUUCUGCCAACCUAGCAGUUCGAAAGUACAAGUAGAAAAAUAGGGACCACCUUUAGUGGGAAGGUAACAGUGUUCCGUGCACCUUUGGCAUUUAGUCAUACCAGCCACAUGACCACAGAGAUGACUUUGGAUAGCACUGGUUCUUCAGCUUUGAAACGGAGAUGAGCACUGCCCCAUAGAGUCGGGAACGACUAGCACAUAUAUGCAAGGGGAACCUUUACCUUUACCUUACCUAUCUUUAUUCGGUCUGUGUGUUUUAAUGCCAUGUUCUAUUAUGGCAAGUUGGUGAAAUAUGCUGGCAAUUUUUAGUUUUCUGUUACAGACUGUUCCAUCACUGCAGUUUCUCAGAUUCCCUGCAUUUCCCGAUAUGAAAAAGUUCCCUAGGAAGUGGACAAGCCAGAGGAGGAUCUCAAAAGGCAAGAUCCAACUGGAAUGAUUCACAGGCUUUUAUCUUCCUGGUCACCUGUUUGGGGAACAAUGGAAUGAUCAGGAGAUCAUCGUCUUCAUGAGCUUCGGAUGGGAAGUGGCAGCUUUACAGUCAAAUAGCACUUCCUCCCAGGUGGAAGAGUUCUGGAAUUGUUUUCAUGACUGCAUCCACGAGGUUGUCUAGUUCCCUGCGGAAAUGUAUGAAAUUGUGCUUCUGAUGCCUGGCCAUUUGCUACUGAAUUCUGAUGGUGCAAUUGUAGGGCUCUACGAUGAGCCUCUCUCAAAGCAGCUUAAAAAGGUAAAGGGAAAGGUUCCCCUCGCACAUAUGUGUUAGUCAUUCCCAACUCUAGGGGGCAGUGCUCAUCUCCGCUUCAAAGCUGAAGAGCCAGCGCUGUCAGGACGUCUCCGUGGUCAUGUGGCCGGCAUGACUAAAUGCCAAAGGCGCAUGGAGUGCUGUUACCUUCCCACCAAAGGUGGUCCCUAUUUUUCUACUUGCAUUUUUUAUGUGCUUUAGAACUGCUAGGUUGGCAGAAGCUGGGACAAGUAAUGGGAGGUCACCCCGUUACGCGGCACUAGGGAUUUGAACGCUGAACUGCUGAUCUUUCAAUUGCCAAGCUCAGCAUCUUACCCACUGAGCCACCACAUCCCUUCAAAGCAGCUUAAAACAUCCUAGAAUGUCCAGCCUGAUUUAGAAGACGGUUAGAAAUCUCUCUGUGUGUUUUUAAACUCCAACGGCGGUAACAUCCAUACAUUAGGAAGAAACGGGGGGCAGAAAGAGAAGCAGAGUGCCCAAACCUUGAUAAAAGCAUCUUGAAGUAAAGGAAUCCCUUAGGGAAAAUGACAGGAGGGUAAUGCAGGAGUCUAGAAAAUAUGUUUUGGGUUCCACAUUUCUCUAUCUUUUUUGUGCGUAAAGCUAAAUGGAUUUAAGAACAAAUCUUGUUGUUGCUGAGGUACCCAUUUUAUUCCUAAAAAUCUCUGAGCCAAUACUCUGGUUGGAUCUACCGCCUUUGACUUUUGAAUUGCUGCCUCCAAAAUACCACACAAAGCCGCCUGCAGCCCCCAAACCAGCAGAAAUAAUGCCCCUCUGCCUUACAGGAUGUCCUCAACUUACGACCACAAUUGAGUCAGAAUUUCCAUUACCCAGUAAGGCGGUUGUUAAGUGAGUCACCUCCAAUUUUAUGACCUUUUUUUUUUUUUGCCACAGUUAAAUGAUUCACAGCAGCUGUUCAGUGAUUCAUGCAGUCAUUUAAAGAAUCCAUCUUCUUCCCCAAUUGGAUUUUGCUUAUGGGAAGAUUGCAAAGGGCGAUCAUAUGACCCUAGGAAGCUGCCACCCUUGUAAAUUCUUAUCGGUUGUCAACACCCAAAUUUUGAUCAUGUAACCAUGAGGAUGCUGUGAUGGUCGUAAUUGCAAGGACCGGUUAUAAGUCACUUUUUUCAAUGUUGUAACUUCGAAUGGUUGCUAAAAAAAAUGGUUGUAAGUCGAGGACUUAUUUGCGAGGGAUCUGCCACCUUUUGGGGAAACUGCUAAGUGUUGUGCAAAAUCAAGUUUAUUAAAAAUAACAGAUCCCACAAUAAAAUUGCAUUAAUACUUGCUA